rnacentral:rRNA from 1 species
UACGAAGAGGGCUAGCGUUGCUCGGAAUCACUGGGCUUAAAGCGUGUGUAGGCGGGCCGUUAAGUAUCUUGUGAAAUCCCCCGGCUCAACCGGGGAAUGGCUGGAUAUACUGGCGGUCUUGAGCAAUUCAGGGGCAGAUGGAACAGACGGUGGAGCGGUGAAAUGCGUAGAUAUCGUCUGGAACGCCAAAGGUGAAGACAGUCUGCUGGGAAUUUGCUGACGCUGAGACACGAAAGCCAGGGGAGCGAACGGG